GACGAACGCUGGCGGCGUGCUUAACACAUGCAAGUCGAACGCUGAAGCUUGGUGCUUGCACUGGGUGGAUGAGUGGCGAACGGGUGAGUAAUACGUGAGUAACCUGCCCUUGACUCGGGGAUAAGCCUGGGAAACUGGGUCUAAUACUGGAUACGACAUGUCACCGCAUGGUGGUGUGUGGAAAGGGUUUUACUGGUUUUGGAUGGGCUCACGGCCUAUCAGCUUGUUGGUGGGGUAAUGGCUCACCAAGGCGACGACGGGUAGCCGGCCUGAGAGGGUGACCGGCCACACUGGGACUGAGAUACGGCCCAGACUCCUACGGGAGGCAGCAGUGGGGAAUAUUGCACAAUGGGCGGAAGCCUGAUGCAGCGACGCCGCGUGAGGGAUGACGGCCUUCGGGUUGUAAACCUCUUUCAGCACGGAAGAAGCGAAAGUGACGGUACGUGCAGAAGAAGCGCCGGCUAACUACGUG
rnacentral:rRNA from 1 species